CGCACAUUGCGCCCAUUAGUAUUCUAGUGGGCAUGCCUGUUCGAGCGUCAUUUAAAAACUCAAGCUUCGGCUUGGUAUUGGGGAUCAGCCUCUCUGGCUGGCCCUGAAAAUCAGUGGCGGUCUCGCUGUAGCUUCCUCUGCGUAGUAGCACAACCUCGCUCUGGAAAACAGUCUGGCCCAGCCGUUAAACACCCCAAUUUUUAAAGGUUGACCUCGGAUCAGGUAGGAAUACCCGCUGAACUUAA
rnacentral:misc_RNA from 1 species